UACGGAGGGGGCUAGCGUUGUUCGGAAUUACUGGGCGUAAAGCGCGCGUAGGCGGACCUGCAAGUCGGGGGUGAAAGCCCGAGGCUCAACCUCGGAACUGCCUUCGAUACUGCGGGUCUCGAGUCCGGGAGAGGUGAGUGGAAUUCCUAGUGUAGAGGUGAAAUUCGUAGAUAUUAGGAAGAACACCAGUGGCGAGGGCGGCUCACUGGCCCGGUACUGACGCUGAGGAACGAAAGCGUGGGUAGCGAACAGG
rnacentral:rRNA from 1 species